rnacentral:lncRNA from 1 species
CGUGACGGUACUCAAAUUGCACCUAUUUUGACAGUUUUUUCACCUACGUUUUUUUAUGAUCAAGUAAAAUAUGUCCAUACUGUGUUUAUUUUGUAGCCCUAUCCUUCUUCAUUGUAUAGGUACACUAAUUUGAUUUUUAAUCCAUACUGAGUCCAUAAAAAAAUGGGUUUGAAUCAACCUCCAAACUAUCCAGGAUUCUGUAAUGAGGAGUACCCAAAUUGCAUCCAUGCUUAAAUUCACAUCGUCAAAAGUCUAAUAACCGAGCUUUUGUUUAAUUUCUUCAAAUAUUUUGAACAAUUGAAUAUUAGUCCAUGCUUACUCUUCAUAUUUUUCAAAAUGGAUGCUUAUAAUAUAUUGUUUUUGCUAAUUUUAAAAAGAUGACGUUUUGAUGACGUCGUACGGUGACGUUUUCGAACAUUUUGCUUUUUCAGUAAACAGUCCAUCUGUUCAUAAAUACUGUGAACGUUUUGUGUAUAUCUAAAUAUGUUUACCUAUGUUGAAAGACGUGCAUAGUAUCAAAUAAAAAAAAUACAAAUUGUUUAGUCUCUAGGAAAUGUUGCAAGAUUUCCGUUGCUAUUUUUUCUAAAUAGGUGCAAUUUGGGUACUCGGUGCAAUUUGGGUACCCUUACGUUACACAUUU